CGGGUAGCGGAACACGUACGCAACCUUCCCAAAACUGGUGAAUAGCCUUUCGAAAGAGAGAUUAAUACACCGUAACUUAAUGAAGUGGCAUCACUUUAUUAGUAUAGCUCCGGCGGUUUUGGAUGGGCGUGCGCCUGAUUAGGUAGUUGGCGGAGUAACAGCCCACCAAGCCUACGAUCAGUAACUGGUGUGAGAGCACGACCAGUCACACGGGCACUGAGACACGGGCCCG
rnacentral:rRNA from 1 species